rnacentral:rRNA from 1 species
GCCAAGAUCUNUCCGCAGAUCACGGGACUAUAGGGAGACCGCUGGCGCGAAGUCAGAGGAAGGCGAGGGCAACGGUAGGUCAGUAUGCUCCGAAUGCUAUGGGCUACACGCGCAAUACAAAGGACGGGACAAUGGGCUGCAACUCCGAGAGGAAUGACGCUAUCCCGAAACCCGUUCGUAGUUCGGAUUGAGGGCUGUAACUCGCCCUCAUGAAGCUGGAUUAGGUAGUAAUCGCGUCUCAAAAAGGCGCGGUGAAUAUGCCCCUGCUCCUUGCACACACCGCCCGUCAAACCAUCUUAGUUGUGGGUGGGUGAGGCUGCCUCUCUUUCGAGAUGUGGUAUUCGAGCCUGCCUUCGACAAGGAGGGUUAAGUCGUAACAAGGUAACC